CCUACGGUGGGCAGCAGUGAGGAAUAUUGGUCAAUGGACGAGAGCCUGAACCAGCCAAGUAGCGUGAAGGAUGACUGCCCUAUGGAUUGUAAACUUCUUUUAUAUGGGAGUAACAUAGGCUACGUAUGCCCUUUUGUAUUUACCAUAUGAAUACGGAUCGGCUCAAUCCGUGCCAGCAGCCGCGGUAAUACGUAGGGUCCGAGCGUUGUCCGGAUUGAUUGGGUUUAAAGGGUGCGUAGGUGGCGUUUUAAGUCCGGUGUGAAAGUCUGGGGCUCAACCGUCGAACUGCAGUUGAUACUGGCAGUCGUGAGUACAGUAGAGGUAGGCGGAAUGCGUGGUGUAGCGGUGAAAUGCUUAGAUAUCACGAAGAAC
rnacentral:rRNA from 1 species